UGUGGCGUCUGUCACCUACUGGUUUCCAAAGU
rnacentral:piRNA from 1 species